rnacentral:rRNA from 1 species
ACGAACGCUGGCGGCGUGCUUAACACAUGCACGUCGCACGCUGAAGAAGAGAAACGCGAACUUCGGUUCAAAUUUCACUUCGGAUUAGUGGCAGACGGGUGAGUAACGCGUGAGCAACCUACCUCUUACAAAGGGAUAGCCUCGGGAAACCGUGAUUAAUACCAUAUGACACAUUCAUAAGGCAUCUUAAGAAUGUUAAAGCUACGGCGGUAAGAGAUGGGCUCGCGUCCCAUUAGCUAGUUGGUGAGGUAACGGCCCACCAAGGCGACGAUGGGUAACCGGACUGAGAGGGUGAACCGUCACACUGGAACUGAUACACGGUCCAAACUCCUACGGGAGGCAGCAGUGGGGAAUAUUGCACAAUGGAGGGAACUCUGAUGCAGCGACGACGCGUGAGCGAUGAAGGAAUUCGUUUAGUAAAGCUCUGUUCUAUGGGAAGAAAAGGACUGUACCAAAGGAGAAAGCCCCGGCUAAAUACGUG